GGAGUAGGCUGUCCUGUCGCUGUCCGUUAUGGCGGACAGAGGAAAGUCCGGACAACACAGAGCACCGCACUUCCUAACGGGAAGAUGUCUGUAAGGGCAUAGUACCGGAACAGAAAACAACCGUCCGUCAGUUGACGGAUAAGGGUGAAAAGGUGGGGUAAGAGCCCACCGGUCUCCGGGGUGACCCGGACAGCCGUCCGGCUUGCGGGUUGAAAGACCAUGUAUACCGGCAUUUGAGGGUUGCUCGUCCGAUGCCGGGGGGUAGGUCGAUAGAGGUAUGUGGUGACAUAUACCCCAGAUAAAUGACAGGAUACCGGAAAAAUCUCUGGCAGAGCUUUCCGGGAAACAGAAUCCGGCUUACAGGCCUACUCCUUUU
rnacentral:RNase_P_RNA from 1 species